GUUUCCGUAGGUGAACCUGCGGAAGGAUCAUUACAGAGUUCAUGCCCUCACGGGUAGAUCUCCCACCCUUGAAUAUUUAUACCUUAGUUGCUUUGGCAGGCCGUGGAAACACCAUGGGCUCCGGCUUAUGCGUGCCUGCCAGAGGAAACAAACUCUGUUUUUAGUGAUGUCUGAGUACUAUAUAAUAGUUAAAACUUUCAACAACGGAUCUCUUGGUUCUG
rnacentral:misc_RNA from 1 species